CAAAAUACCCAAGUUCCUGACAAUGUAUUGGAGAAAAAAACAUUUCACCAACUCCUUUUCCACAUGAUUAAUCCUUGUAAAAAGUAUCACACCACUGUGUCCAGCCCAUACAACUGCUCUAGGUGCUGUGGUUGUCCAAUAAACCUCAGCACUUUACUGUCUGCAAGUGCUGCCUUCUUCCCAGGAACCCCCUCGGUGUGGUCCAAGGGAGCACUGAUGGGCAGUGAGGAAGGAAAGUGGGGACACACUCAACCAGCCCAAAGGAUAAAUGUCACAGUGACUUCUGCCACCCAACCCUGUGUUCCAUGGCUGCAGAUCAAGCCAGGGUGGCCAACAGAGACAGGCAGGACUGAGCCAUUUGCUCCUGCCUCAGUGCUGCUGUGUAACCUGGGGAAAUGGGUUUUGUUUCACCUCAGUUUCCCCACCUGGAACACGGAAAUAAUUUUCUUGGCUUCUUUUUAAAGGCCUUUCAGAUGAACAGCCUGUUUAAAGAGGUAAGUUGUAUUAUAAGCAACGGACUCUCAUGACUGCCAAGAACCAAAAGUGAUAUGAGGGAGAUGAAAUUCAGGCCACCUCAUCAGCAAAGCAUGUUGACCUGGCCUUCAAGACAAGGUUAGGGCUCUUGGAGAGAGCACAUUCCUUUUUGGGACGGAAAGGAGUGGACAUAGACCCAGCACAUGCUUUCCUAUUAUUAGUCAUUUGUAUCCAUGUAUUGCUGCAAAUGUGUACAGCCCUCAACAACCCACCAAAGCAAGGCCACAGCCUGAAGUCUUCUAACCCAGCAGCUCAACCUCACAACGGGGGAUGAGGAGAAGCUGCCAGGUAAUUUCCCCUUGAUGGCUUGGGCAGGAUGGAUGCAACCAGUCCUCACCAAGCCUGCAAGCCCCAGCACCUCCAUGAGCCUCUCAGCAGGACUGGAGAGGGACAAGGGCAGGCAGAGGGACCUGCCUGGGCACCAGCUGGAGAGCUCGGCAUCUCUAGAGGACCAGGAUGCUGACAGGCAGUAACACAAAACUGAGGAGUUGUACUGAAAGGAAGCUGAAAGGGAAAGUUAGGAGUCAAAUGGUUUCAGAACUCACAGACUGUAUUUAAACAGUCCUUUCAGAAAGAGAACAUGGAAGAAACAUGCACACAGGGGUCCUGAAACUUCAAAAGAGAAAAGCCUGACCAGUGCUGUGUGCAUAUGGGGUAAUUAAGUUUGAGCUGAUGUUGAUACUGGGCAUGUCCUUGGUGCUGUAGGGGAGAGGGAGCACAGUGAGGAGGUGGGCUGGGGUAAGGAGGGACAGGUUACUGCUGCUCACCAGGAUCCAGGAGAUCUGGACACUACAGGGAGCAGCCCACUAGGGGAUUUUGGCAGAGCUGGGACUAUACCUCACGUCCAUCUCCACACACAACCCCUCUCCUGACCACAGGAACAUCCUCCCAGCCUCAGACAGGUCCUAAGCAAACAAAUGGGAGGAUUUUUACUGGUUUUAAUGAUGUAUGAGGUCAGAUGGAGCUGAAGCCAGACCAGCUGCCAGUGCAACUGUGCAUAAAUCAGUGCAUUGGCUCACAGAUGGAGAAACAGUUGAGGUUUUUGCAGGUCCUUACCCAGCUAUUCACCCUCCCAUACAUCUCUCACCCAAGCAAUUUCAGAGCCAACACUGCUCUUGCUGAAGUCCAUGGGAGAGUUGUCCUUGGCCUCGAUGGCCCCAGGGUCCCUGUCCAAGCUGCCACAGCGAGGCUGAGCCUCUGACAGGUCACUGGAGACACAUCCAUGGCCCUGCCUCACUGGAGGGAGGUACUGAGACACUGCUUGGGUAAGGCAGCACGUCCACUAGGGCUGGGCUGAGAACUUCAGUGUCUUUUAGGUUUAAACAACGUUGCUUCUUUAUAAAAUUGAGCCUCUCCACCUGCAGCAGAGUGCAUCCAAACUGAUUUGCAAGACUGCCAAGGACACAGUGUCUCCCACCAAGAAGUAGGUGAUGUAUCAGAAAGUCAGAUACCUGAUGGGAUUCAGAGAUAGCAGGGCUACAGGGAUCCUGUAUGAUGAUUUAGUCCAGCUUUCCACACAAAUUCAUAAAUUAACUCCUGCAUUGUGUCCUGAGCUUAAAAUGGAACAUCCUUCAGGGUUCUGAGUGUGAGGAGAGGAGAGGAGAGGAGAGGAGAGGAGAGGAGAG